rnacentral:lncRNA from 1 species
CCCCAGCUCCGGAGAUCAUGCCCUGAAACUCAGGAGUCCCCGCCCGGAAAAACCAGACAGAGGGCAAGGCGGGCCUGUCUGGCCGCAAAGAGGUCCGUACGUCGUCCUCACGUCUUCCCGGACAUGGGACAUCUGGCUUCCAGUUUAGGUUUACAGAAACAUCACAGAGGUGGUACGGAGCUCCCGUAUGCCCCACACCGACGGCGCGUUUCGGUCUCCCGUCUCCCGUCUCCCACCUCGUGGGCCUUGGUGGCUUCUCUGCGGCGGAAGGCACGGCUGUCCGGGCUGGCCCUGCGACCAGUCCACGGCGAGGGCCUCGUUGCUGAAGAAAACCAUCUGUUUCAUCAGGCUGGCUCUGGAAUGCUGUGCGGCUGGGUCUGAAGCCCCCGGUUGCAGCCCCCCAAAGCCACGCACCCGACUCCAACAAAAGAAGCACAGAAUAGGAACCGCUCGCGGGCUGCCAAAGCCGCCUUUCCCGGGCGGAGCGGGGCAGUGGUCACUUGGCAGGAGUGAAGGUCUCGCUGCCUGGAGUCGUACUUGGAGGAGCACGGAGUUGGUUCGGUUGCUCUGGAGGCCCGUGGAAAUGAACGUGACCUGCGUGUGGAAGGCGCGGCUCCCGGCUGCGUGGGCCGUGGGCUGUGGCCGGGCUGUGGCAGCAGAAGACGGAAAGGGACCGAGUGUCCAGCUCCCAGCUCCAGCCCUCAGGGCCCCCGGUGACAGUUCCUCGGCAUCACUCUGAUCCCGACUGAGUGGGGUGUUCACAUUGUGAAAUGAGCUGCGUGGCUGACCUGAAUGAAUCCUUACCUAGCGAAUUAAAAAAAAAUUUUUUUG